GACGUAUGGGGCGAGCGUUGUUCGGAAUUAUUGGGCGUAAAGGGCAUGCAGGCGGUUUCGUAAGUCUGGUGUGAAAGACCCACGCUUAACGUGGGGGACGCAUGGGAAACUGCGAGACUUGAGUACAGGAAGGGGAGCUGGAAUUCCAGGUGUAGGGGUGAAAUCUGUAGAUAUCUGGAAGAACAUCAGUGGCGAAGGCGAGCUCCUGGCCAUGUACUGACGCUGAGAUGCGAAAGCGUGGGGAGCAAACAGG
rnacentral:rRNA from 1 species